rnacentral:rRNA from 1 species
AUUGAACGCUGGCGGAAUGCUUUACACAUGCAAGUCGAGCGGCAGCUCGGCCUUCUUGCUGUCUUCGAGCGGCGAACUGGUGUGUAAUGCAUCUGUACAUGCCCAGUCUUUUUGUAUUACACUUCUACAGAAGUGCUAAUACCUCAUACGUCCUGUGCUUGAAAGCUGGUGUUCCCAAGACCUCGCGCGAUUGUAUUUUCCGAUGUCAGAUUAGCUAGUUGGUUGGGUAAAGGCCUACCAAGGCGACGAUCUGUAGCUGGUCUGAGAGGAUGAUCAGCGACACUGGGACUGAGACACGGCCCAGACUCCUACGGGAGGCAGCAGUGGGGAAUGGUGGACAAUGGGGGCAAACCUGAUCCAGAAAGGCCGCGUGAGUGAAGAGGGCCUUCGGGUUGUAAAGCUCUUUCGGCAGGAACGAAACGGUGGGAACUAAAAUAGUCAGAUAAUGACGGUACCUGAAGAAGAAGCACCGGCUAACUACGUG